GAUGAACGCUGGCGGCGUGCCUAAUACAUGCAAGUAGAACGCUGAAGGAAGGAGCUUGCUCUUUCCGGAUGAGUUGCGAACGGGUGAGUAACGCGUAGGUAACCUGCCUGGUAGCGGGGGAUAACUAUUGGAAACGAUAUCUAAUACCGCAUAACAGUAGAUGUUGCAUGAUAUCUACUUAAAAGGUGCAAUUGCACCACUACCAGAUGGACCUGCGUUGUAUUAGCUAGUUGGUGAGGUAACGGCUCACCAAGGCGACGAUACAUAGCCGACCUGAGAGGGUGAUCGGCCAAACUGGGAAUGAGAAAAGGCCCAGACUCCUAAGGGAGGCAGCAGUAGGGAAUCUUCGGAAAUGGACGGAAGUCUGACCGAGCAACGCCGCGUGAGUGAAGAAGGUUUUCGGAUCGUAAAGCUCUGUUGUAAGAGAAGAAAGAGUGUGAGAGUGGAAAGUUCACACUGUGACGGUAUCUUACCAGAAAGGGACGGCUAACUACGUG
rnacentral:rRNA from 1 species